rnacentral:lncRNA from 7 species
CCCCUCCCACUUGUGAAGGGGAAAUAGUUGCUUUAGAACAAGAAGUGAAGCGGAGGAAGCUCUUUAGUAUUUGGUAAUGCAAUGGCUGGAAGAUCACUAACUAUCAGAUUAACCAGGUGGACACACUGGGUAUCAGCAAUUAUUCUGCUGCUAUGGAGUCAUCAGAUCAGUGGGCAAGGACAAGAGCUUGCUACUGAGAAGACCCUUAUCAGUUGCAGAUUUGGAUUUUUGGCUGAGGCCUACGGCAUUAUUCAGUGACACUACAAAGCAGAAUUAGCACUGUCUCAUAUUAAACCCACGAUGCGGCCCAGGAAACCUGUCAGUAAAGCUUAUGCAACAUGCUAAACUGUCAUUUGCUGAGAUGUCAUGACAGAGUGAAUCCAAAAUGUAUUGAUUUGAAGUCAUGGCAUUUUGUCGGGGGAGGAGAGGAAAAGGGAAAGAGCUAACUACAAAGCAAGAAAAAUAGUAAAACUUACACCACUGGUAAACAACCGGAGGCUUGUAUUAUUAGUAGUAAACAUUUAGAGAAAUGUAGGUUAUGGUGCAUUUAAAACCCCCAAAAUAAAAUAAAGUAAAAUAACCCCCAUAUUAUUCAUACAGAUAGUUCCUUGAUUUGGUCAUAAUUAGUAAAACAACAACAAAUGCAAUAAAUGUCUGACUCACCCAAACAAAAUGUCAGCCACACAAUUGGCUCAUUUCUGGAGAUAACGAGUACGUUAGUCCUCUGUUUUAACAAAUGCAUGUUUUCUGAAGACAAAACAAACAAGCAAGGAUAAUCUAAAGUAUAAUCUUCAGUUGGAAAAUCAAAGUGACAAAAAUGUGUCAACACAAUAACUGACACCUAUCCAUCUUGCUUCCUCCUUAAAAUACUGGCAAGAAACAAGAUGAUGUAUGUAUAUUCUUCAUUCGUUUGACAUGAUAGUGUACGUAAUACAAAUUUGCACUGAAAUCUUUCAUACAGAGAUAGUUAAUGUACCUGUUUCAAAGAGAUAGAGCGCUAACAAGUGUAUAUUGACCCGCUGUGUUAACACCAGAAUGUCACAUAGCUUUAGUCACAGGGUUAUGUGGUACACUAUCUUCAGAGAAAGAUAUUUUGAAAGUAUUUACUAAGGGCUGUAUAAUAAAAAAUGUAGCAUACGUUAUAUAAUAAUCAGUGAUGAAAAAAUUAGAAGUCUAUAACAGAUAAUGAAUGUUCGAACCAAGUCCCCACCCAAUGUUUGUUCAAAAACAAUCAAACAAAAAAGAAAAUAUAAAAGCACUUGUGUAAAGUAGGGGAAAAAAAUCUAAGUUUCAUGUAAUCGUACUUACCGGUGAAAUUUUAUCUGGGAUUGCAUAUUAAAAAACAAAAAACAAAAACAAACAAACAAACAAAAGGAUUAUUUUAAUUAUAUAUUUGAUUUGAUACUUUAAAUGAACUUGUGAACAAUUAAUUUAAACAAUGUAUUUAAUGCCCACAUGCAUCCUUUUAAAUUACACAAAGAGUAGGAAUGCAAAAAUCAUACUAAGCCUCACAGAAACAGAAUAUAUUUUGUAAUUGGAAAAGGAGUCAAGAAGCCUAAUGAAAUAGGUUAAGGACACAUGCUUCAUGGAAAAGACUGUCAUAUAUAGAACAUUAUUCAUAGAGAAUUUGUUGUUAUUUUGUAAUUCAAUGAUCUAGUCAUGAUUUACUUACAUAACAACAUGUUUAUUUUAUUGUAUACAUAGAACCAAACCCCAAGAGCUGAAGUAAUAAAUCGGAACACUUAGACUGCUGUUAUGAAGGGUUAACUUAAAUAUUUUCCUUCUUUAAUCUCUUCUCAAAUGAACUGUAUUCAUCCUGUAACUAUUGUGUAGCCUCAUUAAUAUAGUUAAUGAAUUGAUCUUUCUGUUAAGAAGCUCAAUACAACCUACAAAUAUCAUCAUGAAUAUUUAAUCAAACAUUGAUCUCAAUCAGCAGAUCCAAACAUCAAUCAGUUGUAUUGGAUAAAACUCCAUAGUUCUGUUGCAUUCUAUCAGUUACUUGUUUUAUUUAAUUAAAAAUAUUACACCCUUC